rnacentral:rRNA from 1 species
GAUGAACGCUAGCGGCAGGCCUAAUACAUGCAAGUCGAACGGCAGCGGACCUUCGGGUGCCGGCGAGUGGCGAACGGGUGAGUAAUGCAUCGGAACGUGCCAUUGAGUGGGGGAUAACGUAGCGAAAGUUACGCUAAUACCGCAUAUUCUGUGAGCAGGAAAGCAGGGGACCGCAAGGCCUUGCGCUCUUUGAGCGGCCGAUGUCAGAUUAGCUAGUUGGUGAGGUAAAGGCUUACCAAGGCGACGAUCUGUAGCGGGUCUGAGAGGAUGAUCCGCCACACUGGAACUGAGACACGGUCCAGACUCCUACGGGAGGCAGCAGUGGGGAAUUUUGGACAAUGGGCGCAAGCCUGAUCCAGCCAUGCCGCGUGAGUGAAGAAGGCCUGG